AUAUUUACCUGGCAGGGGAGAUACCAUGUCCAAAAAGUGGUUUUUCCGGUAGGGAGCUUAUCCAUUGCACUGCGGAUGUGCUGACCCUUGCAAUCUGUCCAAUUGUGGGGAACCUGACUGCUUACUCUAUGGUAGUGGGGACUGCAUUCACGCUUUCCCCUG
ensembl:snRNA U1 U1 spliceosomal RNA